rnacentral:rRNA from 1 species
UACAGGGGGUGCAAACGUUGCUCGGAAUCAUUGGGCGUAAAGCGCACGUAGGCGGUUCGUUAUGUCGGAUGUGAAAGCCCUUGGCUUAACCGAGGAAGUGCAUCCGAAACUGGCGAGCUAGAGUACGAAAGAGGAUCGCGGAAUUCCCGGUGUAGAGGUGAAAUUCGUAGAUAUGCGGAGGAACACCGAUGGCGAAGGCAAUCCCCUGGACCUGUACUGACGCUCAUGCACGAAAGCGUGGGGAGCAAACGGGG